UGUUUCACCAAACCUGUGAAUGUAAGUAGAUUCUUAGCCACUGCUCCGCCCGCCGCCUCUGCUGCCAAGUGUCCGAGAAGCCGAUCGGAGCGUUGUUUUAUCGGGUCCAGCAGGUGACGUCAGCCACACGUGGUCCCGAAAGUAGGCUGUGCGUCUUUCGCUGCAGUAGUCGGUGCAGAUGCACUCAGCCAGCCACAGUCCGGGUCCUGAACGAGUUCCACAGUCCACGGCUGCCGGUCUACAGAUGGCUUCAAGGGUCACCCAAACCUGUGAAUGUAAGUAGAUUCUUAGCCACUGCUCCGCCCGCCGCCUCUGCUGCCAAGUGUCCGAGAAGCCGAUCGGAGCGUUGUUUUAUCGGGUCCAGCAGGUGACGUCAGCCACACGUGGUCCCGAAAGUAGGCUGUGCGUCUUUCGCUGCAGUAGUCGGUGCAGAUGCACUCAGCCAGCCACAGUCCGGGUCCUGAACGAGUUCCACAGUCCACGGCUGCCGGUCUACAGAUGGCUUCAAGGGUCACCCAAACCUG
rnacentral:lncRNA from 1 species